GUAAUAUAUAUGUAAACUUUUGUGAUUUGAAACAUGCUAACAGGUACAAAUGCAAAAUGCAAAAUGUGCGUGGACGAAGCAUCCAAAGUCAAGGAAGACUUGUUCCGAGCCAGCAUGCCUAACUACAGAAGAAUCCUGCUCCAGCCAGUGAUGAUGAUGGUCGGAUGAGUCCUGCCACUAGAGAGUCCUCCACGUACUUCUUCAUGGCUUGGUGUUCCAGUCCUGUUAAUGAGAAGAGCCUCCCUCAAGGGGCCAGGGGCUGCCCAAGAUGACAUGGCUGCUCCGCGAGUUGACUACAUGGAAACUUAUUCUCUCGGUGUGACCGUCCGGAAAUGUCAUCCUCAGAGAUUG